rnacentral:lncRNA from 1 species
CUAUCCUCCACUGUCCAGUUAUCUGUUUUUUGUGGUUAUUGGUACAAUGUUUAGUUCAGAACAAUAUAAAGAAAUAUGUGUAUGCCAGUGUUUGGUUUGUUAAAUACAAUUUGAGAUGUUCUCACUGCAGUUUCAACAUCAAUAUCCACUCAAACUCAAACUUCACAAUUGGACACUGUCAUUUCCACGUCUGAAACCCCAGUGUACCGCACAACAGUGGCUCAUACUAAAGGUCCACCCUCACUAACAUACAAAGAUCUAUGGUUUAUAGUGCUGGUUUUCAUUGGUGUUGCUGUCAUUUUGUCUGGACUCAUG